UGUCAAGCCCCGCGCGCUCAGGGAGGAUUCAUGCUGAAGAUUCGACGAGACGAGUGUGGAUGAUGAACGUCAGAGCUGAAAUCUGCGCCGAUGACACGCGGAGCUGGGCUGAGAGUAUUUUUGCUUUAAAAUCUGCCAAACAAGAAGAAGGAAACCAAACCCACUACCUGCCAUUUUUCCGUGCGCUUUUUCACCAUUCAGCAGUGGAAGGAAGUUGUUGAAUUUCAGGUGAUGUGGAGGCAGUGGUCAGAAGAGUGUAACAAGCCUUUUGUAAAAACCAGGCUGCCUCUCAGAUGAUCCACUGCAGGCCUGCUGUGUCUUUCACACAGAGAUGAAAAGUGUCCCUCGUGGCUCGACGUGAUAUCAGAUCUGCCAAGCAAGAAGGAGGCAACAUAAACCCACUACCUGCCAUUUCACUGUGCGUUUUUUCACCAUUCAGCAGUGGAAGGAAUUUGUUGUAUUCCAAGUAUUCUUUGUGAUGAUGAGGAUCUGCAGACAAAAAACACAUGUUGCAGAGUCUGUUCUUCAGCAACCAAUCAACAAAAACACUCAUUGGGAAUUUUGAUCUUACCAUUCCAGU